rnacentral:tRNA from 1 species
GCAGCGAUGCCCGAGUGGUCUAAGGGGGCAGAUUUAAGUUGGCUGAAAGGUUAAUGAAACUCUGCUGUUGAUAAACGCGCGAGUUCGAACCUCGCUCGCUGCA